UACGUAGGUGGCAAGCGUUGUCCGGAUUUAUUGGGCGUAAAGCGAGCGCAGGCGGUUCAUUAAGUCUGAUGUGAAACGCCCACGGCUCAACCGUGGAAGGUCAUUGGAAACGUGGGGAACUUGAGUGCAGAAGAGGAGAGUGGAAUUCCAUGUGUAGCGGUGAAAUGCGUAGAUAUAUGGAGGAACACCAGUGGCGAAGGCGACUCUCUGGUCUGUAACUGACGCUGAGGCUCGAAAGCGUGGGGAGCAAACAGGAUUA
rnacentral:rRNA from 1 species